ensembl:lncRNA
CGCUAAAGAGCUUUCUAAUUUCAAUGGGGCUGAUGUUUUAAAACCAGAUACUGCUAGAUGUUGAGUGCUCGGGAGUGCGUAUUGCCUCACACAUUUUCACUUGAAUUAGCACAAACCAGGAAGCGUUUUGUCUCCAGGGCACUUUGCAUCUUUCUUGGUUAUUAUGGCUUUUGUUUGGGCGACCGCGACGUGGCACCCGAAACAAGGCCGGCAGGUCGGGGGCCCCUCACAGAAGAACACAAUGCAUUGUGGGCGUCGAGCGUGGAUUUACGAGCCAAUCGGCCAGCAGAUGUUUGCCGUGUCUUGCUCUGGUACGGGGGGGCUCAUAAUUCACACAAAUGGUCGUCAGCAGUGCGUCUCUGUGUGUGUUUGCAG